UUCAGGCUGCAGUCAUAUAUCUGAACUCUGCCCAGGCACGAGGGUCUGAGCUAACAGCUCCUCAUACAGGAACAGAUCCGGACAUACUUGGAGAUAGGUAUGGGGGGAAAGAAGUCCAGAUCCAGGAAAAUUAAAGAACUUAAACCAGUACAGAUGAAGAUAGGAUAUAGACAUCCAUUGCUCCAGGUGCUACUGCAAAUAGAGGGGUCCUUACUUGAGAGUAAGGAGGGGAUUUCGUCAGUUGUGGGGGCAUGCCAUCUGUGUGCCUUCAUCCUCUGUUGCCCCAAUGACUUUCUACUUAGAAACAAAGGAAGAGCACCAAUGGGGUGGAGGAAAGGAUUUGCUGGAAUCAUUUGUGUUUCUGUGGAGGACAUAACUACUUGCCCAAAGGGGAAACUUACCGAGUAUGCUCUGCAGCUUCCUAAAGCCGGUGUAGAAAGUCAUCAUUAAGGCCAGAUUCUCAGCAACCAUACAAACUAAGCAGAGGAAGUCACUCAGAUCUGUGCAAAUGGAUAAGGCUAAAAGGAUUCAUAGCUUCUGCUCACUGGUAAGGCAGAACUGUUUGGUUCUGAACCGAGGGGCACUACGGUUCCAUUUCCACUUCUGAAGAGUCAUGUGAUAUACAUUAUCCAUUA